CCUUCCUUGUGUGCUCUGUCCAUGGGGUGGGACUUAUCUGUAACCAUCUAAAGGUAGUUGGUGCUUAAAGUGAGUUGAAACUGAUGAAAACUUUUCCAGGUUGAGCUCUGCAUUUUUACCAUUGUGAUAGACCUGGCCCUGACACGGAACUCUCACUGCCCCAAUGCUCCCCUGUCAAGAGCUUGGAGGCUCCCAGAGAAGAAUGCUUUCAUUGUUCAUCCAGGCUGGUGUGCGCAAAAGGCCCUUGUAAAAACUGUCUCUUCUCCAUUUCAAUCUCACCAGUCAAAAAAUAUCUUAGUUGUGUGGAUAUAUGAAGCAACAUGUAAUAAGACAUGUAUAUAGUCUGCGAUGAUGAAAUAAAGAUACUACUUCUGUCUCCUUAAACAUCCAAAAAACAUUUUCAUUAACAUAUAAUUAGACAUAUUUGUAGACUAUGUUUCAAUAUUUUAAUACAUGAAUACAGUAUGUACUCAUUAAAUUAGAAUAAUUAACAUUUUUAUCUUAUUACUUCAGUAUUUGGAGCACUGAAGCAGCUCUCUUAAUUUUUCCUAAAAUAUGUUAGUGUGAACUGUAAACACAAGAUGUUCCGUAGAAUACUAGAACGUUUCAGUUUUCUCUAGUGAGGUUUUGGUUCCAACCUAUCCAACCUCCCUCUCUCUCAACCUUUCCCAGCCUCUGGUAGUCACUAUUAUGUGCUCUUACAGAUUUUAAAACUACCCACAACAUCAGAGAGACUAUGUAACAUCUGUCUUUCUGUAUUUGACAUGUCACUUAACAACACCCCCUAUUGGUUCUACUGUAGGUUACAGAGUUUUAUGUUGGAGGCUGAAUAUUAGUCAUGCGUUCUUCACACUUUCCUUUGUACAACUGUGGGUUGCUGUGAGUCAAGAUUGAAUUCAAUAACUCCCAUGGCUGCUCAGUCUUUCACAUCCCAGCUCAGGUGUGGCUGAUGCGGUGCUUAGAAGCAACACCUGGAACCCAGGGGUCAGCAACUUUCACCUCACAGUGCCAGUUUCGGUGAACCAGAAGCAGUUGCCCGGGUGGCUUGUUGAGAGGGACUGUGGGGUGGGUAGAAAUGUGGAGUGCCUAACCCGGCUUGCUGUGACACUGUAAGGAGCCAUGUCAAUGAGGCAGGUGGCAGUGUGGUGGCCACACUGUUUCCAUCUUUCAGAACACUGUCCCUGUUAAACUUUGUCCCUCUUUACAUCAGAUGGAUAUUUCUUUUUCAAACUAGAUUUUCAGAUAAUGCAAACUAAUUGUGUUUGUACAUUUAGAGUAUUAAAGAACAUUAAAAAAAGCUUUAGAUAGAUUGGAGAGAUUAACUUCCCUGUGAAACCUCUACUUGCUCACUGAGGCUCCAAGCUCAUUGGCUCUGGUUUAGCAAGACGUGUUGCCAGGCAGUGACUAGGUAGGACCCAUCCAUUCAGUCAGAUUGAAAAACUUAGUGUGUUUCUUGCCCAAGGCCUGAGUUUCAAAUUCUGUAUUUCCUCUACAAUGAAGAUAAAAAUGGAAUUAAUAUCUUACAUCAUUAAUUCAGCAUCAAUCACUGAGUGUGUAUGUAUUAACCAUUUACAAUGUGUUAGGAGGGUUGCUAAGCAACACAGAGAUAACAUUGAACAAAGAGAUAAAAACAAUCACCAUGGAACUGACAUCCUGGCAGAGAGCAGUAUUAACCAUGAUUGUUCUGACAAACAUUUGCUGCUCUAUAUAGUGUAGGAGAUGCUCCAGUGGGAGCAACAGAAGCAAAGGAGGUCAUGACAGAAGGGAUUGCCCAUUUACUUUCACAGCAACACAAAAGUACACACAUGCAAAGGCAGGAGAACAAGGGUAGAAUGUGAGGGCAGGAGCCUGAAAUGCUAUUUUCUCCAUUGCCUCCUGACCCAAUAUAAAGAAGAUACUCUGCAGAGAUCUUGGAAUUUAUCUUAAUCCAUACUUCUGAUAGGUUUGAAAAGAUGCUUUUAAAGCCUCUCUACAUUAGCAUAAAAGCCCCAGAAAGCUCUGAGCAUGUAAUCAUGAGGUUUGCAGUUCUCUGUGUCUUCAUACCAAGCAAAUCACAGGUGGAAUAGGCAGGAACCCUCCCUGCCCCUGUAGGAGCAUCACAGUUACCCCUAAAUGCCUAGGAAUGACUGUGCAGUCUCUCAAAGUCUCCCUGGAGGCUCCAGGAAGGUUGUGACUUGAUCUGAAUGAGAUCUCACGCUCCCCAAGGAUUUCAUGCUUUCCUGUAUGUAUUUCAAACUUAGAAACAAUCAAGAACUAUAAUAUAAGGCAUUUCCUCUUGAAGCCCUUGAGGCCAACCAGAAUGUUCUGGAAAGGUCCCUCUGGAGUCUUUGGAAUGAUGAUCAUGCUGGCCAAGGAUGAGAAUUUGUCAGAUGGUUGUCAUAGUG
rnacentral:lncRNA from 1 species